GACGAACGCUGGCGGCGUGCCUAAUACAUGCAAGUAGAACGCUGAAGGAGGAGCUUGCUCUUCUGGAUGAGUUGCGAACGGGUGAGUAACGCGUAGGUAACCUGCCUGGUAGCGGGGGAUAACUAUUGGAAACGAUAGCUAAUACCGCAUAAUAGCAGUUGUUGCAUGACAGCUGUUUGAAAGGUGCAAUUGCACCACUACCAGAUGGACCUGCGUUGUAUUAGCUAGUUGGUGGGGUAACGGCCCACCAAGGCGACGAUACAUAGCCGACCUGAGAGGGUGAUCGGCCACACUGGGACUGAGACACGGCCCAGACUCCUACGGGAGGCAGCAGUGGGGAAUUUUGGACAAUGGGCGCAAGCCUGAUCCAGCCAUGCCGCGUGUCUGAAGAAGGCCUUCGGGUUGUAAAGGACUUUUGUCAGGGAAGAAAAGGAUAGGGUUAAUACCCCUGUCUGAUGACGGUACCUGAAGAAUAAGCACCGGCUAACUACGUGCCAGCAGCCGCGGUAAUACGUAGGGUGCGAGCGUUAAUCGGAAUUACUGGGCGUAAAGCGGGCGCAGACGGUUACUUAAGCAGGAUGUGAAAUCCCCGGGCUCAACCUGGGAACUGCGUUCUGAACUGGGUGACUAGAGUGUGUCAGAGGGAGGUAGAAUUCCACGUGUAGCAGUGAAAUGCGUAGAGAUGUGGAGGAAUACCGAUGGCGAAGGCAGCCUCCUGGGAUAACACUGACGUUCAUGCCCGAAAGCGUGGGUAGCAAACAGGAUUAGAUACCCUGGUAGUCCACGCCCUAAACGAUGUCGAUUAGCUGUUGGGCAGCUUGACUGCUUAGUAGCGAAGCUAACGCGUGAAAUCGACCGCCUGGGGAGUACGGUCGCAAGAUUAAAACUCAAAGGAAUUGACGGGGACCCGCACAAGCGGUGGAUGAUGUGGAUUAAUUCGAUGCAACGCGAAGAACCUUACCUGGUCUUGACAUGUACGGAACCCUCCAGAGACGGAGGGGUGCCUUCGGGAGCCGUAACACAGGUGCUGCAUGGCUGUCGUCAGCUCGUGUCGUGAGAUGUUGGGUUAAGUCCCGCAACGAGCGCAACCCUUGUCAUUAGUUGCCAUCAUUAAGUUGGGCACUCUAAUGAGACUGCCGGUGACAAGCCGGAGGAAGGUGGGGAUGACGUCAAGUCCUCAUGGCCCUUAUGACCAGGGCUUCACACGUCAUACAAUGGUCGGUACAGAGGGUAGCCAAGCCGCGAGGCGGAGCCAAUCUCACAAAACCGAUCGUAGUCCGGAUUGCACUCUGCAACUCGAGUGCAUGAAGUCGGAAUCGCUAGUAAUCGCAGGUCAGCAUACUGCGGUGAAUACGUUCCCGGGUCU
rnacentral:rRNA from 1 species